rnacentral:rRNA from 1 species
AUUGAACGCUGGCGGCAUGCUUUACACAUGCAAGUCGAACGGUAACAGGCCGCAAGGUGCUGACGAGUGGCGAACGGGUGAGUAAUGCAUCGGAACGUGCCCAGUCGUGGGGGAUAACGCAGCGAAAGCUGCGCUAUACCGCAUACGAUCUGUGGAUGAAAGCGGGGGACCGAAAGGCCUCGCGCGAUUGGAGCGGCCGAUGUCAGAUUAGGUAGUUGGUGGGGUAAAGGCCCACCAAGCCAACGAUCUGUAGCUGGUCUGAGAGGACGACCAGCCACACUGGGACUGAGACACGGCCCAGACUCCUACGGGAGGCAGCAGUGGGGAAUUUUGGACAAUGGGCGCAAGCCUGAUCCAGCAAUGCCGCGUGCAGGAAGAAGGCCUUCGGGUUGUAAACUGCUUUUGUACGGAACGAAACGGCUCUGGUUAAUACCUGGGGCUAAUGACGGUACCGUAAGAAUAAGCACCGGCUAACUACGUGCCAGCCGCCGCCGUAAUAC